UUCUUGCACUGACAAAGGCCUAUUCCAUUCC
rnacentral:piRNA from 1 species